GGGAAGGUGGCUCAGUGGUAGAGUGCUCGCCUUGCAUGCCUGAGGCCCUGGGUUCGAUUCCUCAGCACCCCA
rfam:Dipodomys ordii contig_64603, whole genome shotgun sequence.